GGGCUCUUGGCACAACGGUAGCGCGCCUGCAUGGCAUGCAGGAGGUUGCGGGUUCAAAUCCCGCAGAGUCCA
rnacentral:tRNA from 1 species